CGGUGUGGUUGCAGGUGAACUGCAUCGAACCGCACCCGCGGUUCCCGAUCCUGGCCACGAGCGGCCUCGACAAGGACGUGAAGAUCUGGGCGCCGUACAACCACAAGGACCCCACCUACAACAAGCUGAGUAAGGUGAUCCGCGAGAACAGCGCGUCGCAGCUCCACAGCCCGUUGUUCAACGACUUCCUGCCGACGCUGUACUCGGCGUGGCGCGGCGAGAACCGCCUCUACGACGACGAAGAUCUGCCACACACCGGCAAUAUCGAAUUUGACGGCAACAUUUGCACCACUUUCUAAAUUAUAUCGGACUUCUAAGAAAUAAUGCCAGUAGUUAGUACAGAAUUCGACGGAAUUUACACCUUUCAAACACGCCGGAAAAUGUACAAAAAACACACAGCGCAUAAGUCGAGUAGGGUUUUCAUGAUUCUAAAUCCAGAUGUAAUAUGAAAAUCAGGUAUACUAGCAUCUAACUAGUAUUACAGGGUAUUGAUUUCGACGGAAACAUUAGUGCCACAUAUGACAUUACACACAUAUACGUAUAACAUCUAACAGUAUGUAUAACUGCAUGGUCAAUGUUAUCCAAUGUCUAAGAUACUGACUGUUGGCUAGUGUCAAAGUUCUUGAGCCUAAUUCUAUGGAGUAUGGAAAAUGUUGGCAUGUCUAGUUAGAAUCGCGUAUAAAACUGCAGUAUGUAUGGUGUAGUGUUCUCGUGGUGUGAGGAUUUCAGCUUGUCAAUUCAUCAAAUUAAAUGAUAAUUGGAGCUCAUAGGGUACAAAUUAAAUUGACCUAUUUUACCCAACUGUAAGUAUAAUGAUAGGUUUGGCAACAAUAUCAAAAACUAAGCCCAGAUCUAUUCUCUUCAGGCUGAUUUAGUAUUCAUUACGUUUUGGGAAUUCAUUCAACUUGGACGCUAGAUGAAAUGUACCGACUAGCUGAUUAGAUGUAAAUGGAAACCCAGGUUAAAUACACAACUGGUACAUACACAGACGCCUUUCUAACGUUGUAUAUACGUGUAACGGCUUUGUCUUGCUUCUUGAGUGAGACUUGAGAAGUAAAAUGAAACAUUGUAUUUAUAGACAUGAUCAUUAGUAAGGCCUUCGGUGAAAUAAAAGCGUGCCUACACUUGGAAGAAGUAGUGGUCAUCAUGCCAUGAGGAUUGAUUAUGAUUAUAUAUAUUUAUGGUGGCAAAAAGCAAGUUUACCAUCUUAGGCCAUUUUUGAAAUAUUAAAAUACUCUAUGAUUUUAAGUUUUUAUAUCAUACAAUGAUACAGUUAUUAAUAUACAUUUCUAGAUGUUUUUAUCUCUCUCAAGUGUACUAUUAGCUGGAAUACAUAUCCUAAAACACGAUA